rnacentral:lncRNA from 1 species
GUUUUAAACCCUAGACUGAACUUUUUCCUUUAAUCAGCAUUAGGGUUUUAAACCCUAAACUGAACUUUUUCCUUUAAUCAGCAUUAGGGUUUUAAACCCUAAACUGAACUUUUCCUUUAGUCAGCAUUAGGGUUUUAAACCCUAAACUGAACUUUUUCCAUUCAGCCAGCAUUAGAGUUUUAAACCCUAAACUAAGCUUUUCCAUGCAGUCAGUAUUAGGGUUUUAAACCCUAAACUGAAUUUUCCUUUUAAUCAGAUUAGGGUUUUAAACCCUAAACUGAACUUUUUCUUUAGUCAGCAUUAGGGUUUUAAACCCUAAACUGAACUCUUUCAUUCAGCCAGCAUUAGGGUUUUAAACCCUAAACUGAGCUUUUCCAUGCAAUCAGCGUUAGGGUUUUAAACCCUAAACUGAACUUUUUUCCUUGCAGUCAGCAUUAGGGUUUUAAACCCUAAACUUAACUUUUCCUUUCAGUCAGCAUUAGGGUUUUAAACCCUAAACUGAACUUUUUCCAUUUAGUCAGCAUUAGGGUUUUAAACCCUAAACUGAACUUUUCCCUUUAGUUAGCAUUAGGGUUUUAAACCCUAAACUGAACUUUUUCCUUUCAGUCAACAUUAGGGUUUUAAACCCUAAACUGAACUCGUUCCCUUUAGUUAGCAUUAGGGUUUUAAACCCUAAACUGAACUUUUUCCUUUCAGUCAGCAUUAGGGUUUUAAACCCUAAGCUGAACUUUUUCCAUUUAGUCAGCAUUAGGGUUUUAAACCUUAAAAUGAACUUUUCCACUCAGUCAGCAU